rnacentral:lncRNA from 1 species
ACCUUGUGUGGCAUCUUUCCGAACCUCUCCGACUGUCCGAGCUUCCACAAUACCAUCUGGACUUCUCCGAUAAUGGGCUCCUCCAUUCACCUACCAGACGGCUCCAAACGCUCUCUGAGCUUCACUAUCAACCGAUUUUCUACAGUGAUCGGCUAUUCUCCGAAUCUCAGCCUAGACUUCUUUCGGACUUCGUCAAUGUCCGAGCUUCUCCAAUAACAG